rnacentral:lncRNA from 1 species
AUUAAAAUUAAAUAGGAAUAAUUAAACCUAAAUGUAAAACAGUAAAUCAUCAAGGUUUUUUGAACUCACGUACCCAAACCGGGUUCCUAGGACUCACUGCGCGCAACCACCAAAAGUUUGUGUGCCUCCACACACACCUCUACGGGAUCGCCAUGCACCGCCGCUAUUCACCGUCGAUUGCUGCUACGAAUUGGCCAAAAUUCGCCAAAGAGCACUUCCUGCCCUUAGAUCUGACAUAGAUUUGGUGGAAUCGAGCCUAAGGGAGCCGCAGAACAGCAAAACACACUUCGGGCAAUCACACAAAUUGUCUUCUUCUCAUGCGUGCCGUUGCGCGCAACAUCGGACUCUCCUCUACCUUUUUCUUCUUCUUCUUCUUC